AUCUUAUUUCUCGUUUCUGUGAAGAACCUUCUUGAAGGAAUCUUGAAUCUUCUGAAGAACCGCUUGGGCUACAGAGAGGCAAAAAUUGAUCUUCAAUUUAUGUUUGGGCGGGUGCCCCUUAAGCGCCUUUCUGAAGGAACCACUGGCAAUAUCCUGAUAAGGGUUUCAGCUGCCGACAGAGGAAUCUUCAAUUUACAUCUGGUGUGGAUUUGGGCUCCCGGAAAUAACAGGUUUUUAUCAGAAUAAAUUCUUAAUCGUU